UACGGAGGGAGCUAGCGUUGUUCGGAAUUACUGGGCGUAAAGCGCACGUAGGCGGCUUUGUAAGUUAGAGGUGAAAAGCCCCGGGGCUCAACCCCGGAAUUGCCUUUAAGACUGCAUCGCUUGAAUCCGGGAGAGGUGAGUGGAAUUCCGAGUGUAGAGGUGAAAAUUCGUAGAUAUUCGGAAGAACACCAGUGGCGAAGGCGG
rnacentral:rRNA from 1 species